GAUGAACGCGGGCGGCGUGCCUAAUACAUGCAAGUCGAGCGAACGGACGAGAAGCUUGCUUCUCUGAUGUUAGCGGCGGACGGGUGAGUAACACGUGGAUAACCUACCUAUAAGACUGGGAUAACUUCGGGAAACCGGAGCUAAUACCGGAUAAUAUUUUGAACCGCAUGGUUCUAAAGUGAAAGACGGUCUUGCUGUCACUUAUAGAUGGAUCCGCGCUGCAUUAGCUAGUUGGUAAGGUAACGGCUUACCAAGGCAACGAUGCAUAGCCGACCUGAGAGGGUGAUCGGCCACACUGGAACUGAGACACGGUCCAGGCUCCUACGGGAGGCAGCAGUAGGGAAUCUUCCGCAAUGGGCGAAAGCCUGACGGAGCAACGCCGUGUGAGUGAUGAAGGUCUUCGGAUCGUAAAACUCUGUUAUUAGGGAAGAACAUAUGUGUAAGUAACUGUGCACAUCUUGACGGUACCUAAUCAGAAAGCCACGGCUAACUACGUG
rnacentral:rRNA from 1 species